GCGCAGCGGAAUCCGGAACCAGAUAAGAACGUCGAUACGUUCAGUACCCGUCUAGCAAAAUCAUCUAGAUCAGCGAUCACCGAUCUAGCAGGUCAGAGCAUCCAAGAGAUCAGCGCUAAGGUUGUCCCUCCUUGUAAACGGGAGGUCGUCGGUUCGAUCCCGACCGGGGGCU
rnacentral:tRNA from 1 species